UACGUAGGGGGCAAGCGUUGUCCGGAAUUAUUGGGCGUAAAGAGCUCGUAGGCGGCUCAGUAAGUCGGAUGUGAAAACUCCAGGCUCAACCUGGAGACGCCAUUCGAUACUGCUGUGGCUAGAGUCCAGUAGGGGAGUGUGGAAUUCCUGGUGUAGCGGUGAAAUGCAUAGAUAUCAGGAGGAACACCGGUGGCGAAGGCGGAUCUCUGGGCCUUGCCUGACGCUGAGGCGCGAAAGCUAGGGGAGCGAACAGG
rnacentral:rRNA from 1 species